UACGUAGGGUGCAAGCGUUUGUCCGGAAUUAUUGGGCGUAAAGAGCUCGUAGGCGGUUUGUUGCGUCGGCUGUGAAAUCCCGAGGCUCAACCUCGGGUCUGCAGUCGAUACGAGCAAACUAGAGUGUUGCAGGGGAGACUGGAAUUCCUGGUGUAGCGGUGAAAUGCGCAGAUAUCAGGAGGAACACCGGUGGCGAAGGCGGGGUCUCUGGGCAACAACUGACGCUGAGGAGCGAAAGCGUGGGGAGCGAACAGG
rnacentral:rRNA from 1 species